CCACUGUCCACAACUGGAAGAGAGAGAACACAACAACAAUUUUUCGUCCCUCUGAAAUCGGGAUUCAUACUGGCUGAUUCUUUCGUUCUGCGAAAGCUACCGGAAAUAACUACCCUUCCUCGCUCAUUCAUCACCCGGUUGACGAUGGCUUCCCAGCAUUCCGUAGCGCAGAGCUACGCGUUUCCAUAUGCUAUGCCCAUGGCCGGGUAGGAUCUUUCUGCAAGAAUCAUCAUAGGUCAUCAUGGAUAUGAAUCGGUUUUCUUUUCUCACCGUUUGUAAGUUCAAUAAAGUUCAAUAAAGAUAAUGUAAAAAA